rnacentral:rRNA from 1 species
UACGUAGGGGGCAAGCGUUGUCCGGAUUUAUUGGGCGUAAAGCGCGUGUAGGCGGCCAGGUAGGUCAGCUGUGAAAACUCGAGGCUCAACCUCGAGAUGUCGGCUGAAACCAUCUGGCUAGAGUCCGGAAGAGGAGAAUGGAAUUCCCGGUGUAGCGGUGAAAUGCGCGGAUAUCGGGAAGAACACCCGUGGCGAAGGCGGUGCUCUGGGACGGUACUGACGCUGAGACGCGAAAGCGUGGGGAGCGAACAGG